rnacentral:tRNA from 1 species
GGGGCGGUAGCUCAGCUGGUCAGAGCAGGCGACUCAUAAUCGCUCGGUCACGGGUUCAAGUCCCGUCCGCCCCA